AAAAAGGAGAGAAGGACAUUCCUGGAC
rnacentral:piRNA from 1 species